GAUAAACGCUGGCGGCGCACAUAAGACAUGCAAGUCGAACGGACUUAACCAUUAGUUUACUAUUGGAGCGGUUAGUGGCGGACUGGUGAGUAACACGUAAGCAACCUGCCUGUUAGAGGGGAACAACAGUUAGAAAUGACUGCUAAUACUCCAUACUCCUUCUUAACAUAAGUUAAGUUGGGAAAGUUUUUUCGGUGUAGGAUGAGACUAUAUUGUAUCAGCUAGUUGGUAAGGUAAUGGCUUACCAAGGCUAUGACGCAUAACUGGUCUGAGAGGAUGAUCAGUCACACUGGAACUGAGACACGGUCCAG
rnacentral:rRNA from 1 species